AGUGAACGCUGGCGGUAGGCCUAACACAUGCAAGUCGAACGGCAGCACAGUAAGAGCUUGCUCUUACGGGUGGCGAGUGGCGGACGGGUGAGGAAUACAUCGGAAUCUACUUUUUCGUGGGGGAUAACGUAGGGAAACUUACGCUAAUACCGCAUACGACCUACGGGUGAAAGCAGGGGAUCUUCUGACCUUGCGCGAUUGAAUGAGCCGAUGUCGGAUUAGCUAGUUGGCGGGGUAAAGGCCCACCAAGGCGACGAUCCGUAGCUGGUCUGAGAGGAUGAUCAGCGACACUGGAACUGAGACACGGUCCAGACUCCUACGGGAGGCAGCAGUGGGGAAUAUUGGACAAUGGGCGCAAGCCUGAUCCAGCCAUACCGCGUGGGUGAAGAAGGCCUUCGGGUUGUAAAGCCCUUUUGUUGGGAAAGAAAAGCAGCAGGUUAAUACCCCGCUGUUCUGACGGUACCCAAAGAAUAAGCACCGGCUAACUUCGUG
rnacentral:rRNA from 1 species